AAAGGUCUUGAUAUUUAGUCCAUCUUAGACGAUGUCAGGGGCGCUAACGUUUUUCUUUUUCGACCACUGUCUCCCGAUUCUCGGCGUUCAGUCUUUCGAUCCAGACGACUACGCCGCGCUGCCGCAAUUCCGCGGGCAGCAUUUUAAAGGAGAUUACGGAUAUGGCUAAUGGCACCGUAAAAUGGUUCAACGCAACUAAAGGUUUUGGCUUCAUCGCACCUGAGACCGGUGGCAAAGAUGUGUUUGUACACAUUUCUGCUGUUGAGCGCUCGGGUCUGACCGGCCUGGCCGACGACCAGAAAGUGACAUUCGACAUCGAGCCCGGCCGUGACGGUCGUGAGUCCGCUGUGAACAUCGCACUGGCGUAAGUCUUUCUGACUUUGACAGUUUAAGACGCGGUCCUGUGCAAACAGGGCCGCGUUUU
rnacentral:sRNA from 1 species